AAUUGGGACAGAACGUGAAUCAUUGUGGUGGCGAGCCGAAAAAAAUUUGAGAAAUCCUCCAGGAAAUUCUACUCCUCUUUGGCUUGAUGAAGUUGAAGAUGGCAAAUGUGUCUUUGUAGCAGAAACUGUGUUCGUGAAAGCGUUAAUCGGCGAAAGGUUUAAGAAGACCGGCAAAUGUGCGCUAAGAGUUACACCUACCGACAUUUGCACUGCAUACAUUGCCUUCGCUUUCAGAAAGGAAUUUCCCCAGAAUGUUUUAAGAAAAUUUGAUGAAAGUUUUCUUGCGGAAUGCUUAGAAAAGUAGUUCCUCCCAUUAAUGGCGGGCACUAGCCAUUUUAGGCGUUGGCCACUACUAAGCCCGGAAGCGAUGGUCGCAUUACUAUGGUGGCACCUAGCAAGUGAGCCAUCGUUGUCUAUGAAGGGACAGACAAUUUACAUCCAUGCCUUCUCUGGGAUCCGAACUCGGGCUCUUUGGUACAGCAUUAGAGUCAUGCAACACUUUCCCGCCUGUGCGGCCUGGAAGGAUAGCCUAGAGCUCCAAUAUUUCCGGAGCACAACUCUGAAUCUGUUGAUUUAAAAAAGUUUGGACUGACGAUGUUGGUGAUUUCUUCACACUGAGAUUCAGCCACGCAUUUUCUGGUUGCUCUUCUUUGUGACUUUUGGUAAGUGAUUUAUCCAUACAUUUCAAAAUUUAGCGCUAGGUUGAGAUGAACUGUAUCGAAUGAAGUUCGAUAGGCGUAAAGCUCCUUGAGUUCUUUUUUUUUUUUUUUUUUUUUUUUAAAUUCUCUUAUGCCAGGCUGUAAAGCACGCGAUGUUGCCGGCUCUAAGUAUCGCAAUAGGGCACAAGACGUUGAACAGUCUGGACGGGCUCUGAGGAAGCGUCGGAAGUGGGAAAAGGAAAGUGACCAGCGUCACAUGAUAAGUGGGUGGUUAAGACAUGAGAAUAAGUCUGAGAAAAGUUUUAUUAUCUAAAUCAGAUAUCAUAAGAUAUAACAUACAAUACAAAUACAAAACUCAUAAAUAAAAGAUACAAAUGAUAGACUAGUAACAUAUAUUCAAUAUCUACAAAUUUACACUAUAUACAGGAAAAUCCGUGAAAGCGGUCUAAGUAGUGAAAUUAUCGUCACGCGUGAGAUGGGCCGCGUAAGGUCUGACGCAACUAUCAUCUCUCAAAGGUAGACAAACAAAAACUUUAAAAUGACGUAAAAAGUCGCAUUGCAUGGCUUUGUCGAAAAAGUUUUUGUUCAUUUUAUGGAGGUAUUUUUCAACGGUAUCCAGUUUAAGGUCUCUGUGAAGAGUGUAGUUUGAGACAUAAAAAUGUGCGUUUGUGAUAAGCCUCAUAAACUUGUUUUGUAGUACCUGCAAUUUAUAAAGAUCUUUGGUAGUAAUUAUAGCCCAAGCAAGGGAUGCG